rnacentral:rRNA from 1 species
GACGAACGCUGGCGGCGUGCUUAACACAUGCAGGUCGAGCGGUAAGGCCCUUUCGGGGGUACACGAGCGGCGAACGGGUGAGUAACACGUGGGUGACCUGCCCUCAGCUCUGGGAUAAGCCUGGGAAACCGGGGUCUAAUACUGGAUAUGACUCCAUGACGCAUGUUGUGGGGUGGAAAGCCUUGUGCGGCUGAGGAUGGGCCCGCGGCCUAUCAGCUUGUUGGUGGGGGGAU